AUGUAGCUGGACUGAGAGAGCAAAUGAGAGAACAGAACAGAAAGGUAUAUAGGUGUAGGUAGACAGGAAGUAGCUUGCUUGGGAGACUGAGGUGUUGGUGAGGUGAGGUUAGCUUGUGGCUUUUCCUAUUCCUCUGAUCUCUCUCAGGCCUUAAUCCCAAUUUCUGGCUCCAAGUUUUUAUUCAUAGGACUGUUUAGCAAUUUGUCUACAGAUUUCAGCUACAUAACAGAAAGACGGGCUCACUGGAGACUUCAAAAAGAUUAUUGUCCUGGGAAGACCACUGAUGGUACCCAGAUCCAGCACCCAGAGUGACAGAGACAUGGAGAGGAUACAGGAAGGAAGCAGAGAAACAAAAAGAAACUCUAGUACUGAAAGAAAGAAGAUUCUACUUCAUAUUUUUAAAUUCUGCUCAAUCUAUCCCAACAACUCUUUGCCUAGUUGGAGAUGCUUCUAAGACAUAUUGGCCUUGGAAAAAUAAAAAUAAUUUUAAAAUUGU